rnacentral:rRNA from 1 species
AGGGCUACACACGUGCUACAAUGGGCGAUACAGAGUGACGCGAAGCCGCGAGGUGGAGCAAAUCGCAGAAAAUCGCUCUCAGUUCGGAUUGGAGUCUGAAACCCGACUCCAUGAAGGUGGAAUCGCUAGUAAUCGCGCAUCAGCAUGGCCGCGGUCGAAUACGUUCCCGGGCCUU